CGUGACUGAAAAAGGUGUUGCAUGAUAUUACACCAGAAUCAGAAAAAUACACAAAGUAUAGUUCAGUAAUAAUUUCUGUCAAAACAUCACAGACUCCAUUCGACUACAGGACUCAAGGUAUCAUCGAUUUUGGGCUCAGAGACACAUUGUAUCCUUCUGUACAACAGGAAACCCCAAAUAUCCCAAGCCAAAAUAGACUCGACUUGGCUACUUCAACGGACCGACUGAAAAACCCCCCAAAAACCAGAAUCAACUCCUUUCCUUUCUCUAGAAUCACAUAGACUCUUUAGAUCACAAAGAAUACCACCCAAGAUCACAGAAGAUUCAAGGGAAAACCACAAAGUAGACGAAGAGAGAUCGAAGGAAGAAAAGAGACGAUUCAGAAAACCCUAGUCUAGAGUGUUCUAAAACUGUUCGAGAGAAAAACGCGUAAAAUGAGAUUAGGUUAGGAAAAAAUAUCAGACGAUAUAUAUAUAUAUAAGGGCUCAUCACGGUAGAUCUAGAUUAGGGGGAUCCAACGGUCCGGAGUAUCACAUGUGGCCGUGUAUAUGGGCUCGGGUUUUGGGCCUCCUCAUUGUGUUAUCGGGCAAUGUGUGUAGUAUCCAAUCACUUGGGCCCAAUUGUUUGAGUUGUAAUUCCAAAAUUGGCAUCACAAUUCAAACACAUGACAUAUUUUAUUGCUCUCAGACAACCCAGGUCCUUCUCAGGGAGUGAAGUAGGGGUGGGUGCAGCAUCUUAUAGCCUACCUUCGUCAAGAUUAUAUCUGUGUCGACAUGUGUUAGUAACACACAUUUGCUGCAGCUCUAGUUCCCUUAAUAAUUGACUCAAUCACUUGAAUCCAGACCACCUUCAACUAUCCAUCUUAGUUUGUGAGUAUGAAACUGAAGAUUAUUAUUAUUAUUAUUUAGCUCACUUUUAAUUCAUUUAUCUAUAUACAGGUUUUUUCCUUUUGUUUCUUUUUACUGAUCAAAUAAUUUGUUUUUUUUCCUGUGAUAUGUGGCAUUGUUAUAGAGGAUCAUAUGAAACUUAAUGUCGGUGACAAAUUUCAUGAGUAAGAUUGUAAUAUUUAGUUGUUAAUACGUAUGAUUUUAAAAUGAUUUUUGGAAUUCUGCAGGGAAAGCAUAUCUUGGGGCCAUAGUGGCACCAUACCUGAAACAAAUUAUUGUAAAGAUGUAACUGUGAUAAGAGCUUUCUGUUUGCAAGGUAAAGUAGGUGUAGCUUUCCAUCUUUGGAAUAAUACGAUUCAGAAGUGUGCAAUUCCUGAUAUUCUCACGCACAAUUACCUUAUGAAUGCACUUUGCAAAAGCGGUGAUCUGGGAAGGGCAGAGUGGCUUGUUGCUGAGAUGUUAGACCGGGGUCCUUUUCCCACUUGUGCUACCUACAACACGUUAAUGAAGGGUUAUUGCAUUAGGAAUAAUGUGGAUAAAGCUUUGGAUCUUUUUUCUACCAUGGCUAGUCUUGGGAUUACACCAAACAUAGUUUCAUGUAAUAUUCUUGUUGAUGGACUUUGCAAGAAGGGUUUGUUGGAGGAUGCCAGAAAGCUUCUUGAGAAAAUAUUGGUUGAUGAUCAUGAUGGAAAAACCUCAAAUAUGAUAACCUCGACUAUCCUAAUGGAUGGUUACUUCAAAACUGGAAAUAUUGUUGAAGCCCUCACUUGUUUGGAGGAGAUAUUCCAAAGUGGCAUAAGGAUGGAUGUCGUUGCAUAUAAUGUCAUCAUACAUGGAUUUUGUUUGAAUGGACACAUGAACCUUGUGUAUAAGUACAUAAGCGAAAUGUUUAAAUGUGGUUGCCUGCCAGAUGUGUUUACAUACAAUAUCCUUAUUGGCAUGCUUUGCAAAGAAGGAAAGACAAAUGAGGCUUGCUACGUCUUUAACGUGAUGUCAAGAAUGGGUGAGACCCCUGAUCACAUCACAUACAAAGUGUUAAUUCACGGUUUAUGUAUUAGUGGAGAUGUAGAUAAAGCUAAUGCUUACCUUCACUGCAUGUUAGUAAAUUCGAUUAUACCUGAGCCACUCAUUUGGAAUGUCAUAAUUGAUGGCUAUGGGAGGCAUGGAGAUAUACAAAAAGCUUUCUUUGUGAGAGACCAAAUGGUUGCAUUUGGUGUUCUGCCCAAUAUAUAUACAUAUAAUAUCAUGAUUCACACAGUAAUAAGAAAUGGAAAUAUUGAUGACGCUCACUAUCUGAAGAAGGAGAUGCUCUUAAAUGGUCCUUUCCCCGAUUUAGUCACUUACAAUCUGUUUGUGCAUGCUGCUUGUAAUCUCGGUCAUAUUAAUUCUGCACUCCGGCUGCAUAAUGAAAUGCUGAGAAGAGGAUUUGAUCCAGAUAUAAUAACUUAUACUGAACUACUCAAGUGUCAUUGUCUGAGAGGUAAAUUGAAGGAUGCAGAAGAGCUCUUUAUCAAGAUAUGGGAGUCAGGUUUACCAAUUGAUCAUGUUCCAUUUCUAAUACUCAUGAAGAAGUAUUUCAAGAUGAGAGAUCUUGACAAAGCAUAUGAUCUUUAUCAAAUGUGGUUAAAGAGGGGAAGUUGAAAAUAGCUCUAUAUCAAGGCACAGUGGUCAGGUUUACCUGUUGACCAUGUUCCAUCUCUAAUACUCAUGGAGAAGUACUGCAAGACACGAGAGAGAGAGAGCUAGCGAGCGAGUACUUGACCUUUGUCAAAUAUGGUUUAAGAGGGAAAAUGAGAAUGCUGUCUUUGCGCAUUGAUCAUUUCUCAGUUUUCUGAUCCAGAAUGUCUGCAGUUGUUUCUCAAUUUUUCUAGUUUCAGGUGGUAAAAGCUUCCUGCUCAUUACGUUAUGGCUGGGAUCUGCUUUUGCAGGUAUAGUCUUUAUUUCUGUUCUUUUCUCUCUUUUUGCUAGUUUUAAUUUAAUAUUGUAAUUCUCAAUUUCUUUCUGUUUCUGUCUGUCUCUUUCUUUAUGUUAUUGCAUUAUAUAUUUCUAUCGUAUGUUAGAAGAUCUCUCAUUCAGGAAUCCUUUUCCUUCUAGCAUUAAGUGCUGAGAGUGAAUUGGGAUUUUCGUUUUUCUUCUUCUGUAAGAAAUUUAGAAUGGUGCUAUGUAUGGUUCAUUGUCUGAUGCUGUUUACAGAAAUCUGGACUUAGAUAUAUUAUACGUGAGCAAUCUAUCUUGUGUUUUAUGCGUAAAAGUUUGGCUGAUUUAAAAGAUGUAUGUUAGACAAUGAUGUUUUUAAUUUCAACCUGAUAAUAUUAAUGUUGAUAAUUAUUAGAUCGCUCACUUUUUCUUUUUUAAUAAAUGAUAUUAAUAUUAAAGUUGACAUUUCUUGAACAAUUGUUGAAUGAAUUAUAUAUUAGAUGAUAUAUAUAAGGAUGCAAUCUCGUGACAAAAGGUCGUAGUUCUUCAAAUGACAAGUUUUUGCUUCAUCUCACAUUUCAUACUUGCUAUAGAAAUUAUGCGUUGAAUUUUUUGCAUAUUUCAUAUUUUUCUUAUCAAAUAUUCCAAUGUAUAACGACAGCUUCCUUUUAUGCAGUUCUUUUACCAAUUUCUCUUUAUUAUUUAAUGACUAAAAUCCCUGCUUUUUUGACAUUCUCAGUUCUACAGAUAAUACUUGAUGGUUGAGCAUGCCCCUUAACAGGGCCUGCGGCACCCCAUGAAGAGAACGAGCCUGCUGAUGUAUGCCUAUGAAUGACGAGCCUUGCAGCUGGCUAGCAAGAUACAGAAAACUGGAAGGAAAAUAUGUAGGAUUUCUUAUUCACUGGUCCCUGUGCGGUUUGGGAGAUCUUAUUUAUGGAAACGAGACAUAUAUCCCUUAUGCCGUACCCAAUGGAAUUUCAUUUAGCGUCAAGGCACGAGUUCACAUUAUUGCUCAAUAACCCUCUUGCCGCUCCAGGCUUGGUACCAACUAUUAGGAUUAGAAGCUAGGUGAUCAAGCUUCUAUGUCCUUGGGCUUUAUAUGUUGAAAACACUGACUUUUCAUUUGUUUUCUUUAAUUGUAGUUGCUAAACCCUGAUGUUCUUUUCAUUGUUUUCCUCAGGAACUAUGUGAUAUCUUCAGAUGACUGUAAAUUCAAGACCCGGGGAUAGUGUAAGAUUCUGUACCAUAAAACUCAAUUGGGAUUUUAAAUCCCAAGUUUAAGUUCGCAGCGACGUUCACAUUGUUAGCAAAGGAUAAUCUGUGCGUCUAGCCGAGCUUAAAAGUAAUUUUAUUUUAGAACAUGUUUGGUUAUGUUAUUUUUUUGUAUGUAUUUUGUAAAUGUAGCUAAGCGUUUACUUGUCAAGUAGAUGGAUAAAUUUUAAAAUAAAUAAAUAUUUUAAUCAAAAUUUGGCAUA
rnacentral:lncRNA from 1 species